UACGGGGGGAGCAAGCGUUGUUCGGAUUUACUGGGCGUAAAGGGCGCGUAGGCGGUCGUGACAAGUCACUUGUGAAAUCUCCGGGCUUAACUCGGAACGGUCAAAUGAUACUGUCGGACUAGAGUACUGCAGGGGAGACUGGAAUUCCUGGUGUAGCGGUGGAAUGCGCAGAUAUCAGGAGGAACACCGGUGGCGAAGGCGGGUCUCUGGGCAGUAACUGACGCUGAGGAGCGAAAGCGUGGGGAGCGAACAGG
rnacentral:rRNA from 1 species